UACGAAGGGGGCUAGCGUUGUUCGGAAUCACUGGGCGUAAAGGGCGCGUAGGCGGCUUUGCAAGUCGGGGGUGAAAGCCUGUGGCUCAACCACAGAAUUGCCUUCGAUACUGCAUGGCUUGAGACCGGAAGAGGUAAGUGGAACUGCGAGUGUAGAGGUGAAAUUCGUAGAUAUUCGCAAGAACACCAGUGGCGAAGGCGGCUUACUGGUCCGGAUCUGACGCUGAGGCGCGAAAGCGUGGGGAGCAAACAGG
rnacentral:rRNA from 1 species